rnacentral:rRNA from 1 species
GACGGAGGAUGCAAGCGUUAUCCGGAAUGAUUGGGCGUAAAGCGUCCGCAGGUGGCAGUUCAAGUCUGCUGUCAAAGACCGGGGCUUAACUUCGGAAAGGCAGUGGAAACUGAACAGCUAGAGUAUGGUAGGGGCAGAGGGAAUUCCUGGUGUAGCGGUGAAAUGCGUAGAGAUCAGGAAGAACAUCGGUGGCGAAGGCGGCUCUCUGGGCCUGUCCUGACGCUCAGGCGCGAAAGCUAGGGGAGCGAACAGG